rnacentral:misc_RNA from 1 species
CUUCGUUCGGGGACGAAG